rnacentral:rRNA from 1 species
UACGUAGGGGGCAAGCGUUGUCCGGAAUUAUUGGGCGUAAAGAGCGCGUAGGCGGUCCGAUAAGUCGGCUGUGAAAGUCAGGGGCUCAACCCUUGAAAGCCGGCCGAUACUGUCGGACUAGAGUCCGGAAGAGGCGAGUGGAAUUCCCGGUGUAGCGGUGAAAUGCGCAGAUAUCGGGAGGAACACCAAUGGCGAAGGCAGCUCGCUGGGACGGUACUGACGCUGAGGCGCGAAAGCCAGGGGAGCAAACGGG